rnacentral:tRNA from 1 species
GGGGCUAUAGCUCAGCUGGGAGAGCGCCUGCAUGGCAUGCAGGAGGCCGCGGGUUCGAGUCCCGCUAGCUCCA